rnacentral:rRNA from 1 species
GACGAACGCUGGCGGCGUGCCUAAUACAUGCAAGUCGAACGCACAGUUCAUACCGUAGCUUGCUACACCAUAGACUGUGAGUUGCGAACGGGUGAGUAACGCGUAGGUAACCUGCCUGGUAGCGGGGGAUAACUAUUGGAAACGAUAGCUAAUACCGCAUAAUAUUGAUUAUUGCAUGAUAAUUGAUUGAAAGAUGCUAUUGCAUCCCUACCAGAUGGCCCUGCGUUGUAUUAGCUAGUAGGCGAGGCAACGGCGCACCUAGGCGAGGAUACAUAGCCGACCGGGGAGGGCGAUCGGCCAGCCUGGGACGGAGACCCGGCCCAGAGGACUGCGGGAAGGAGCAGUAGGGAAACGUGGGGAAUCGGCGGGAGUCAGACCGCGCAGCGCCGCGUGAGUGAAGAAGGUUUUCGGGUCGUAAAGCUCUGUUGUCAGGGAGGAACCGGUGUGAGAGUGGAAAGUACACAUUGUGACGGUAUCUGACCAAGAAGGGACGGCUAACUACGUG